GCUAAGCAAUUAUAAGCACGUGCAAGAAACUAACUCUUUUUUACAUACAUAUAGAUAUAUACUUGAGCUACCCUUCCAUCUUAUAUUGUCUACACCCUUCAAUUUAUGUAGUGAUGAUUCAAUGAUCGAUCAUUUCAAUUUUCAAGUAUGGACGUUGCCAAUUUUGAGCUUCAAUUUUUCAGCCCAGGGAUGAACGUGAGAGAUUGGUAAAGAAUCAAAAGUCAAAGAAGAAUUAGUGCAAUUCCCAACUAGCUCACAAGAAGCUCGUGAGAAGAGUAACCGCGAAAGGUCACGUGUGAAGCACAUGACUAGAAGCUGAAGAGUCAUGCCAGGCUGUCAAAUUCGCGAGUACUUCGUGAGAAAGACCAUCUUGCGAGGUACUCGCAAAACUCUCUAUUUGGCAAAAAAAAAAAAAAAAAAAA